GAUCCUCCCACCCUUUGUGUACCUACCUCUGUUGCUUUGGCGGGCCGCGGUUCUCCGCGGCCGCCCCCCUCCCCGGGGGGUGGCCAGCGCCCGCCAGAGGACCAUCAAACUCCAGUCAGUAAACGAUGCAGUCUGAAAAACAUUUAAUAAACUAAAACUUUCAACAACGGAUCUCUUGGUUCUGGCAUCGAUGAAGAACGCAGCGAAAUGCGAUAAGUAAUGUGAAUUGCAGAAUUCAGUGAAUCAUCGAAUCUUUGAACGCACAUUGCGCCCUUUGGUAUUCCGAAGGGCAUGCCUGUUCGAGCGUCAUUACAACCCUCAAGCUCUGCUUGGUAUUGGGCACCGUCCUUUGCGGGCGCGCCUCAAAGACCUCGGCGGUGGCGUCUUGCCUCAAGCGUAGUAGAACAUACAUCUCGCUUCGGAGCGCAGGGCGUCGCCCGCCGGACGAACCUUCUGAACUUUUCUCAAGGUUGACCUCGGAUCAGGUAGGGAUACCCGCUGAACUUAAGCAUAUCAUAA
rnacentral:rRNA from 1 species